UACGUAGGGGGCAAGCGUUUGUCCGGAUUUAUUGGGCGUAAAGCGCGUGUAGGCGGCUUUUGCAAGUCGGGGUGUGAAAGCCCCUCAGCUCAACUGAGGAAGUGCGCCCGAAACUGCAGAGCUUGAGUACCGGAGAGGAUGGCGGAAUUCCCCAAGUAGAGGUGAAAUUCGUAGAUAUGGGGAGGAACACCGGUGGCGAAGGCGGCCAUCUGGACGGAUACUGACGCUGAGACGCGAAAAGCGUGGGUAGCAAACAGG
rnacentral:rRNA from 1 species